GUGAGUCUGUUAUAUCUGAAAGUAAAGUACUAUAACUUUUAAUAAAUUCCAAUUGAUAAUAAAACAAUAAAUUUCAAAACUAGUUUUAGUUUUCCAUUGCAUUUGAUUCAGUUUAAACGUGUUUCAAUAUCAAUUGUGUUUAAGUUAAUGUAACAUAUUCGUUACUAUUUAUUAUUCUGUACAGUUUUGAAUGCAAAUAAUCUAACGUUAUUCUUAUUUGGAGAUCAUUUGGUUGUGAAACUUCGGGUGUUAAGUACAUCAAUAUGAAGUAUCUUUUGUUCUACGUACUCGUGAUCGCUCUUCUUCACAUCGCAUCCGUAACCUCCAGUCCAAGAUUUAACACGUUCUACGCUUUCCAAAGGCCCGACAAAUAUAACGAGCCGCAAGCAUUUCCAUUUAGUGAUAUAGGAUAUGGAGGAUUUAAAUCAGACAAUUUCGGAGAAAUUAUUUAUUAACUUAUUAAAUUCAAUAGUGAUAAAAAAAUGUACCUUUAUAAUAAAAUUAAAUUAGGAACAUAAAUCAAUGAAAUUGGCGUGAUAUAUAGAUAGUGUACCACAGAUUAGCUGUUAAAAAAUUUACAUAAUAAAUAGCAAGUAUAAUUAAAUUUUCACUAGGAAUACAUAACAUUACUAAUCAUAAAUUUAAAUAAUUGGACACAUAAAUUAUGUCAUAGUACUAAAUAAUUAAUAAAUUAAUAUUAUAAGAAUAAAUGAAAUAAUAAGACAACUCACGAAGUCAUUUUCCUAUGAAAUAACCCAUUAAUAUAAUAAAAACAAAUAAUA